CGCCGUCGUGGCCCCUCCGCCGCCGCCUCCCGCCGCCGGGCGCACAUGAAGAUUGCGUACGCCAGGACAGUCGCGAGGGAGAGUAGGCGCAAUGUGAAGCAGAUGAGCGAGUAAAUCAUGAAGCCGCCGUACAUGUUCUGCAUACUGCAAACGAGGAGCUAAUUUCCUGGCAGCCGGCUUCAGGAUGCUUCAAGCCUGUCUCUGCCGAUGUGGCCCUUAAAAACCUCUCAAGCUGUGGCUGCAAGCAGCCCUGUUCCUUUCUGACUUUGGCAUCUAAUUCCCGCAAAUAUAGAUAAUUGAAUUACGCAUUUCGUUAGGGCGAGCGGAAAACAACCAGCAACCACUGGAUCACUGAGGAAGACAAAGUCAGUCACUUUUUUUUUUUUUUCUUAAUUCAGCAUUUUUUGGGUUUUGGUGACAUUUUAUCAAGUAUGACCUCAACCAGAGGCAGAGAGAAGCAGCUGAGGGUUGUUUAUUGCACACAGAGUAGCUCUCCCUGACAGCAGCACUAAUGGAAAUAACACUUACAAAACUGUCGUGUUCGUGGUCUGAGGAGCAAAACGUGAGCCCUGGUUUCCGUGCCUUGUUCUGACAACCACUUCCCCAGUGAGCACCAGCAGACCACUUCACCUCCCUUCCUAGUUACCACUGAUUCAUAGUUGAGAUCAAUUAGUUAAUGUUUGCAAAGUCAGUUGAAGAUGACAAAGCGUUACAUGCUGCUAAUAAAACCAUAAUGAUCCCACUGUUAAACAUUAAACACACAAUGAGGUGUAAAAAAAUACCACAUUUAUGGAAAAUUCCUGCAAGGACAAAGGAUUAGCUCCUAAAAAAAGGAUGAGCAUAAAUUUGUACCACAGGAUUGCAUCUCAAGGGUUUGGCUUCUGCUUGAGUGUUUGCUACUGAUUAUUUGUGUGUCCACGGGCACACCACUAGGGCCAGCAGUCGCUGACCCACUUGAACGUGGCAACUUAAUCCAGAGCUAGCCAAAAACCACCAGAAGGUUUUGGAAAAGGAUGUUCCUUUCCAUUUUGUGCCUCUGCUUCCCAGUCUGCUAAACGGCAUGAGGAUUGCAGCUGUGUAGCCUGAUUUUUGCAGGCAACAUAAUGCAGCAGUUAGCAAACCCUCACAACAUGGUCAUUAGAAGCCUGGGGAGCUGUGCUGGCUGUGAGACACGUCACACCAGAGUGCGAGGAAUAAAAAAGUGGGCGUGUGGGACUUUCUAGGAGAUUUUUCUUGGCAAUGAGUCUUGCUUUAAAUGUAGAACUGGUAGCUGUGCCACUGGUAGGGCCCCAGGUCGCCGCAUGUAGAGCAGCGCAUGUCUGAUGCUCUGACCUACAGGCAAGAAGGAGGAGAGGAACCAGGAAAACCACGUUUGUCUGUAGCUUUGGGCCUGCACGGGGCCACAUUCAUGGUGAUGAGGCACUGGUGUUUCUGGCAGGGCAGAAGCCAUGGGUGGGGAUUUGCACAGCAGGAACUCCAGGUAGUGUAGGAUUUGGCGCAGCAAUUUCAGACAGGAGAACUCCUCUCCAAAAAGAGCAGCCCUUUGACAAGGCAUCCCUCAUUUCCUCCAUCAAACUGCCCUUUGCAAGGAGCACGCCUGAGCUGCAACAGCCUAUUGCAUCUUCCUCCUGAAAUCUGAUGCUGCCCUGCUUUGAUGGCGAUCAGUUGAUGACUGCAGAAAAGCUGAAUCAUGAAAGAGAGGUUAUAAACAAGGUUAUUUUUAACAAAGGAAAUGAAUCCCACAUCAUUCAGAAGUCAGGGCAAGGGACUGUCAGCUAGGGCUUGCAGGUCCCACUUCUGCCCCGACGUUCUUUAUGUCCUGGAGCAAAUUAAAAUCUCUCUAGCCUUUAAUUUACCUCCUUGUAGCAUGGACAAUGCAGCAGACUCCAGUUGUGCUUUCUUUGUACAGCAAAGCUCCUGGUGUGACAAUAAAGCGAUGCUGGGAGCUGUGUGAUGCCAAGGGCUGGCUUGCACUGCCACCCGGCACCUUGCAGAGCUAUUUUCAGCCAUGCAAAACGAUCGCACGCAGUAUUUCAACAAUGUUCAUAGACAUUUCAAAUGCAGAGAGAGACUAACCAGUCUGAUUCCUCUCUCCCAUAUUUCACAGUCUUACAUUUCAAUUCCCACAUGAAGCCCAGUAACUUCUGCUUCAUUUUGCUCACUGUACACUCAAAAUAGACAAGUUUUGCAACCCA